rnacentral:misc_RNA from 1 species
GAUGAAGAACGUAGCGAAAUGCGAUACGUAAUGUGAAUUGCAGAAUUCAGUGAAUCAUCGAAUCUUUGAACGCACAUUGCACUCUCUGGUAUUCCGGAGAGUAUGCUUGUUUGAGUAUCAGUAAACACCUCAAAUCUCUUGUUUCUUGUGAAUAAGAGAAUUGGACUUGAGCAAUCCCAACUCUUGCAAAAGAGGCGGGUUGCUUGAAAUGCAGGUGCAGCUGGACAUUCUUCUGAGCUAAAAGCAUAUUUAUUUAGUCCCGUAAAACGGAUUAUUACUUUUGCUGCAGCUAACAUAAAGGUUGAAUGGCCAAUAUGACUGACUGAUGCAGGAUUAACAGAGAAUUUAUUCUUUGUAAACUCGAUCUCAAAUCAAGUAAGACUACCCGCUGAACUUAAGCAUAUCAAUAAGCGGAGGA